UAAACUGAUAUAGGAAUACAAUAGUAUGCCCCCUCGCCGUCGCUGCUGCAAUAAUUUGGUCCCCGCUUCCCUUCCCCCUGUUCCUCGCGUUCCUGUCAAGGCUCAGCCUCGCCAUCGCUCGCGGCAUCGCCGCUUGCCCUCCCCUUCCCCAAGCGAAUAAAGUGCCGGAAGCGCGCGCGUCAAGCGAAGCCCUCGCCCCCGCGCUCCGCUCAGGAUCGGGAGCCACCCCCUAGGGUUAGGGCUCGGUUUUGCAUCGUUCCGGCGUCGACCGAUGCGCGGCGCAUGGCGGCGGUGAACUGCCUCUACGUCGCGGCUGCCUCUACGGCGGCCAGCGCCGCCGCGCUGCAGUGGUGGGCAUCCUCGCUCUUCGACGGCGACGCUGGCGCGGGCGAGGAUGGAGCCUGGCUCGGAGCCGUGCUGCGGUCAAAGGUCACCGUCGCGCUCCUGGCGAAUCUGGCGGUCCACGUGUUCCUCGUCAUCAUCCUCGCGCUCAAGACUCUAUUUUUUGUUCAGCUAACUUCUAUAGAGACCAGAAAAGUGUUGGAGCACAUCAUUAACUAUGUAAUUUACAAGGGAACUUUUCUCCCACUGGUUGUGCCUCCUACUUCUCAGCAAAUUAUCCUUUGGUCAACUUGGUUGGUCAUUCUUUGUUCGCUGAAGAUGUUUCAAUCAUUGGCCAGAGAACGUCUAGAGAAGCUCAAUGCUUCUCCCUCAGUGACUCCUUCAAAAUAUUUUCGUGUGUACUCUGCAUUGCUUCUGGUUUUAUCAGCUGAUCUACUUUGGAUGUGGCUCUGUGCAGGGUUUUGCAGCUUCUGUAAUUCCAAGUUGUUUUGGCUCCUGUUCUUUGAGCCACUUAGUAUUGCCUUUGAUACACUGCAGUCUAUUAUGGUGCAUGGGUUUCAGUUAUUUGACAUCUGGCAGCAGCAUCUAAUGGAAAGUGGUGCAGACUUCCUUGAUUUACAGAAAUCUUAUAAGCAAGCAGCAGGAUCUUUUUCUGAAUGGAGGGGCAAGCUUACUAGGAACUUUGGUUUUGCCAUUGAUUUGAUAAGCUUGUUGAUGUCACUUGGUCAUUACUCGAUGAUAUUUUGGCUUCGUGGUAUGGCGUUUCAUCUGGUUGAUGCAGUUCUCUUAUUGAACUCGCGUGCUCUUAUAGUUUCCUUUUUGAAGAGGAUUAAAGCUCACAUCAAGUUACGGAAGGCACUUAGUUCACUCGAUGGAGCACUUCCAGAUGCUACGUAUGAUGAAAUUUGUGCAUAUGAUGAUGAGUGUGCCAUCUGCAGGGGACCAAUGGGUCGAGCUAAAAAGUUGUCAUGCAACCAUCUAUUUCAUCUAGCUUGUUUGCGGUCAUGGUUGGAUCAAGGACUAAUGGAAGGUUACUCCUGUCCAACUUGUCGGAGACCGCUCUUAUUGUCAUCUGAAGGGCAAAGAAGGUCUACAACUGCGGAGGUAGCAAAUGUUCAGCGAAUUGCGGAACAACUUACUAUGGGGAUGAAUCAGCAGAGAGUUCCUGGUAAUGAACAUCCUGUUGAACAGCAGAACCCUUCAGAUGCUGUUUGGAGGUAUGUAUCAGUACUAGGUCUUUUCUAUUAUCUUAUUUUGUUUUUUCACUGCAUUCACCAUAAUACUGAAUUAAAGAUGUGAAUGGGGGCACUAGCUACAUUAGGUUGGGUUCAACAGUGGUCGAAGCCGCUCGAUGACAUGGCGGCGCGGGCGGGCGGUAUCGAUCGGCCCGGCCCCAAUGUUGAUCGGUGGAGCUGCAGAUCAGUCGGAUCGGUCAUACCGAUCGUGUUGGAACCUAACCGGACGAUACUGACCCACAUGCUGGAGACCCGGUUGAUACCAAACUAGAUCAGUCGAUAUCGACUGCUUGGUACCAUGUGGCGGUUUCCGAUUAUUUCGUGUCAUUUUUUGGAUUUCAAAAAAAUAAAAAAAAUUGAAAUAAAUUCCUGGAAUCUGUUCUAUUAAAUAGAGGGGGAGAGUUUGAGUUCAUUCACACCCCUUACUCUCUAAAUUGCUCUUACCUAUUGCACUCCUUACUCUCGUUUCACCCCACUAAAUUAUUGUCGCCAUGUCUCCUCGAGCUCGAACGUUGAGAUGACCAAAGAUGAGGUACUCAAUAUGCUACAUCAAAUUAUGAUGGAUGUUGCGAUAAACUUGCCCUCUGGGUCUUCAACGAGGAGGCGAAAGACAACAUCAGAGCUACAUCGACCGGGGUCGUGAAGUCGCCCACGACCGGUUGAUGCAAGACUACUUCAACUACUCGUGCAUCUACUUUCAUCGAAGAGGUGCUGGUCUGGAUGCUAGCUGGAUUCCACCGUGGUCAAGCCCUGUGAUGGACCAUCCGAGUUCCUCCAGUGCAGUGAGGUCAGUAGGUCUUACUGGAGUUCAGAUGAUGAUGACGCAGUUGGCUUCUGUCACCGACAAUUAUGGGCAUGCUGAUGGUACCUGGAACCUAUGGCCUGAACCGAUGGCAGGGUCCUCUCUUGUUCCUUCCACUUCCUCGAUUUCCGGCACUGCAUCUGCUUCUGGAUUGCGGCUCCGUGGUAGUGCAGGCAUAAGCAACGGGAGUCUUUCGGAGGUACUCACUAUGGUAGAUAGAGUGCGGGAAGUUCUACCUCAUAUCCCUGAUGAGCUAAUCUUAGAGGAUUUGAUGAGGACAAACAACAUAAACGCGACUGUGAAUAAUCUUCUGCUGAUGCAAUAGUAGAUACGUCAAUACAACAUAUAAGUGUGACGUUUACUGGCUAUAAAAGCUUAUAAGAAAAGUAUGUGUAUAGCUAAGGGCGAGCCUGGGUGUAACACGUCUUUGGUUCUGUAAUAAAAGCCCUUUUUUCUUUAUUUUUGUCUGCAGAGGUCUGUAUAGCAACCAAUAUUAUCGGAAUAAAAUUUGUUUUGCUACUA